rnacentral:rRNA from 1 species
GGACUUGCGUCUGAUUAGCUAGUUGGCAGGGUAAUGGCCUACCAAGGCGAUGAUCAGUAGCUGGUCUGAGAGGAUGGCCAGCCAGAUGGGGACUGGGACACGGCCCCAACUCCUACGGGAGGCAGCAGCAAGGAAUUUUGGGCAAUGAGCGAAAGCUUGACCCAGCGACACCGCGUGAGGGAAGAAGGCCUUCGGGUUGUAAACCUCUUUUCUUGGGGAAGUGACGGUACCCAAGGAAUAAGCCUCGGCCAACUACGUGCCAGCAGCCGCGGUAAUACGUAGGAGGCGAACGUUUUCGGAUUUACUGGGCGUAAAGGGAGCGUAGGCGGUUCUUUAAGUCAGAUGUGAAAUCUUCUGGCUCAAUCGGAAGGUGUCAUUUGAUACUAAGGGACUUGAGAGCAGCAGAGGGAAAUGGAAUCCCCGGUGUAGCGGUGAAAUGCGUAGAU